GGUGAAGUCAGAUGUCACAGAACUGUAAUUUAAUCAGUUCAUCGUAUGGAAUACCUCUCUAUGUUUCAUCUUCCUAAGCAAAACACAUAAUCAUUAUCCUCCAUGCAGAUCUCUCGGCUAAAUUACUGAUUUCGUUUCUCUGAUCCCUUCACUUGCUCGGUGCCCAUACGCCGGGUGUGAUCUAGAGCAGUAUUUCAAGAGGAUCGCCAUCCAAUUUUCGAUUGUAAAACCCUAAUUUAAGAAUGGCCGGUGCUUCUCGGUACGGGUUGUCUUUGGCUUUACUAGUCGUACUCCAGGCUAGCAUUCUCUUCUUGUUCUUCUCCCACCCAUCAAUUGCCGUUGGGGAUGACAUUUUACACGCCGCACCCACUGCUGAUUCCCCCGCUUGCAGGAACGACUUUCGAUUGGUCAAGAUCAAGAGGUGGGUGAAUGGUGUUGAGAAGGAGCCAAUUGGUGGGGCGACAGCUGAUUUUGGUGCCGUAUUACCUGAACAAGCUAAACAAGGCCACAGCUAUCCAGCCACUUUUUCAAAGCCCUUAAACUGCUGUUCGCAGUUGUCUUCCACGCUACCGAGCUCCAUUCUAUUGGCAACACGUGGUGAUUGUGUUUUUACAACUAAGGCUAAAGUUGCGCAAGCUGCAGGAGCAGUAGGUUUGGUAGUGAUAAAUGACGAUGAAGGUCUUGUGCAGAUGGGUUGCGAUAAUGAUACUGAUCUGAACAUUACAAUACCUGUUGUUAUGAUUUCUAAGUCAGGAGGAGAAGAACUAAAGAAAGCCAUGGAUGCAGGGGCAAAAGUGGAACUUUUGUUAUACUCUCCUAACAGACCAAUUUUAGAUUACUCAGUGAUAUUGUUAUGGCUGAUGGCUGUGGGAACAAUAGUUUGUGCUUCACUUUGGUCUGAAAUCACUGGAUCAGAGCGAAGUGAUGAGCGCUAUAAUAUAUUGUCACCAAAGGAACCUGAUGCUGUGGCAGCCAGUGAUGAGGAUGAGAAGGAAAUCCUCCAUAUCAGUGCAAAAAGUGCAAUUGUUUUUGUCGUAGUGGCCUCAGCUUUUCUGCUAUUACUAUACUUCUUUAUCUCUUCGUGGUUUGUGUGGGUGCUAAUUGUACUUUUCUGCAUUGGAGGCGUUGAGGGAAUGCAUAGUUGCAUAGUUUCACUAAUCACAAGAAAAUGGAGAAGCUGUGGGCAGAAGACAGUGAAUCUGCCACUUCUAGGAGAAGUUUCCAUUCUCUCUUUUGUUGUGUUGAUUUUCUGUGUGGGUUUUGCCAUCUCCUGGGCUGCUACUCGGAAGUCAUCUUACUCUUGGAUUGGACAAGACAUUCUUGGCAUUUGUUUGAUGAUAACUGUCUUGCAAUUGGUUCAAUUACCAAAUAUAAAGGUUGCCACAGUCCUUCUGUGUUGCGCAUUCCUGUACGAUAUCUUUUGGGUAUUCCUAUCUCCAUUUAUAUUCCACGACAGUGUUAUGAUUGCGGUUGCUGAAGGUGAUAGAAGUGGCGGAGAGUUAAUUCCCAUGCUUCUGCGAGUUCCUCGAUUUUCUGACCCUUAUUACGGCUAUAACAUGAUUGGCUUUGGAGACAUUCUUUUCCCCGGUUUGCUAGUUUCUUUUGCUUUUAGAUAUGACAAAGACAAUAAGAGGGGAAUACUGAAUGGAUAUUUUCUCUGGUUGACAAUCGGCUAUGGAGUUGGACUGUUGUUUACUUACCUAGGGCUGUAUUUGAUGAAUGGACAGGGUCAACCCGCCCUUCUGUACCUGGUCCCGUGCACACUGGGAACUUUCAUAGUGUUGGGUAUGAUAAGACGUGAAUUGAAACGGCUUUGGACUUAUGGCCCUGAUUCAGGAGCAACCGUUCCUCCCUCAGGAGAAGUUUGAUGCAGGAAGGAAUGGACAGGAGUUGUGGAAUCAAUUUUAUUUUUUUUACGACGUGGGAAUCUGCAGCUGCUACCCAAAAGUACGCACUGGGUAAACCUCCGGUCGAACCUAAUAACUUACAAACUAGGCCCGACAGGCAAGUCACACUAUAUGUGGCAGGGUAUUAGGUUCGGUCGGAGUUUAUCCAGUACGCACUUUCGGGUAACGGCUGCGGGUUCCCACGUUAUAAAUUUUUUUUAACAUUAUCACAUGAUAUUGAUCCAUGGUGGAUGUCAUUUUCCGAGCAGGUUGUUGUCUGAAAGUUAGGCACUUUUUAUGUAAGGGUUGUAUUUGGAAUUCUUGCCAAGUUGGUGAAAAAUAAUAAGAACACGGAUAAGGGAAUUCCAAUGACAGAUUAGAUCUAGCUAAUGAGUCCAUUUAUAUCA